AAGAGGAGCUUGCUCCUCUCGAUCAGUGGCGAACGGGUGAGUAACACGUGAGUAACCUGCCCCAGACUCUGGGAUAAGCACUGGAAACGGUGUCUAAUACCGGAUACGAGCUUCAGCCGCAUGGCUAGGAGCUGGAAAGAAUUUCGGUCUGGGAUGGACUCGCGGCCUAUCAGCUAGUUGGUGAGGUAAUGGCCCACCAAGGCGACGACGGGUAGCCGGCCUGAGAGGGUGACCGGCCACACUGGGACUGAGACACGGCCCAGACUCCUACGGGAGGCAGCAGUGGGGAAUAUUGCACAAUGGGCGAAAGCCUGAUGCAGCAACGCCGCGUGAGGGACGACGGCCUUCGGGUUGUAAACCUCUUUUAGUAGGGAAGAAGCGAAAGUGACGGUACCUGCAGAAAAAGCACCGGCUAACUACGUGCCAGCAGCCGCGGUAAUACGUAGGGUGCAAGCGUUAUCCGGAAUUAUUGGGCGUAAAGAGCUCGUAGGCGGUUUGUCGCGUCUGCUGUGAAAACUGGAGGCUCAACCUCCAGCCUGCAGUGGGUACGGGCAGACUAGAGUGCGGUAGGGGAGAUUGGAAUUCCUGGUGUAGCGGUGGAAUGCGCAGAUAUCAGGAGGAACACCGAUGGCGAAGGCAGAUCUCUGGGCCGUAACUGACGCUGAGGAGCGAAAGCAUGGGGAGCGAACAGGAUUAGAUACCCUGGUAGUCCAUGCCGUAAACGUUGGGAACUAGAUGUAGGGA
rnacentral:rRNA from 1 species